CCUACGGGAGGCAGCAGUGAGGAAUAUUGGUCAAUGGGCGCUAGCCUGAACCAGCCAAGUAGCGUGAAGGAUGACUGCCCUAUGGGUUGUAAACUUCUUUUAUAUGGGAAUAAAGUGCAGUAUGUAUACUGCUUUGCAUGUACCUUAUGAAUAAGGAUCGGCUAACUCCGUGCCAGCAGCCGCGGUAAUACGGAGGAUUCGAGCGUUAUCCGGAUUUAUUGGGUUUAAAGGGAGCGUAGGCGGGUUGUUAAGUCAGUUGUGAAAGUUUGCGGCUCAACCGUAAAAUUGCAGUUGAUACUGGCAGCCUUGAGUACAGUAGAGGUAGGCGGAAUUCGUGGUGUAGCGGUGAAAUGCUUAGAUAUCACGAAGAACUCCGAUUGCGAAGGCAGCCUGCUGGACUGUAACUGACGCUGAUGCUCGAAAGUGUGGGUAUCAAACAGGAUUAGAUGCCCGAGUAGUC
rnacentral:rRNA from 1 species